CUUCACAAAUCCUGUUACAUUUUCUAUUUCCCUGUUUGUUUUUUCAUCUCGUUAUUCAUUGCUUUCCAUCCAGAAGCUGAAAGGUGUCUCCACACCUUGGGCCUCUUUUCUCCUCCCAUGGAGGCCACCAGAGGAGAUCCAGGCAAUCCCCAGUGUGGCUCUUUGCCUCCCUCAAGUGACUGGCACCAACACCAACCUCUGUGCAGCUGCAGCACCUUCCUGCGACUCAGCUGCAGACUGGAGUAAUUUGCUGAUGCUGUACAAGGAAUUGUCUCUCCUGGAGUCCUGGCUGGUGUGAUCAGAACUCACAUAUGGUACCAGAACAAAGGGCCCUUCAGCAACCUUGGGAUGAGACAAAUGGUCCUUGGAAGGUGUCUCUCUCUCCAGUGACCGCAACAGCAACCCAGAAAUGCUGCAGAGCCUUCACCACAGCUGCAAAGCACAAACCCCACAACAGUUCUCUGCCAGAGGAAGAAACUAAGAACAUCCUAAGGGAGAAUGCACAGAGGAUCCUAGGAAGUGCUUUUACCUCAGUCUGGACAUGUGGCUAGUAACAAAAUGACAGGAUCUUUAUGGUGUAUGAGCCUUGACCCCAACCUCUGAAGGAGGAAUCAGACCUGGAGAAAAGUUCCUGCAAUUCAAAGAAAUGAAGUGGCAACUUCUGGGAGAAGAAUGUUGAAACUCAAACCUGGAUUUCUAGCCUGAGUGUCCAUCAGGCCUUGAUAACCAAGCUGCACCAGGAAGAUGAGCAAUAACUGCAUUGCCAUGUGCCAGGGACCAAUGGGCAGAACACCCUGCAGGGGCCUCAGAAGGCUCCCAGCUUGCCUGGUAUCCAUGAAUCCAAAUGGAAAAGAGAAAACGGCAAAUGACACUCAAUCCCAAAGUGAGCCAAUCUGUCCUUGUACCCAGAGAAACAACUGACAGCUGACACAGGAUGGGACCUGCAGGGAUUUCUGCAGGAGCAAAGGCUCCUCUGGGGAAGAUUAAAGCUCAGUGCAAACCCCAAGGUCACUUCUACAUGAGCAGUGGGAAGGGAACAGGGUAAAACUUGGGAUCACCUGAGCUUGCUGGCAUCCAGCAGGGUUGGGGUUUAUUGCACUGGAGAUUCCACAAAACUUUCACCCACCAGGAGCUCUGGGCUCUGCAGAGUCUGAUGGAUAUCCUGAAAAAUUUUGGAGUGACAUUUUGGAGGGUAGCUGGCAAAACACGAGCCAGCAAGACAUUGUAGAAAGAUGAAUUCAUAAGCAGAAAGU
ensembl:lncRNA